GCUGGGUGCAGUGGUGUGUGCCUGUAGUCCCAGCUACUUGGGAGGCUGAGAUGGGAGGAUAGCUUGGGCCCAGGAGUUUGAGGUGCAGUGAGUUAUGAUUGUGCCACUGUACCCUAGCCUGGGCAACAGAGCAAGACCACAUUUCUU
ensembl:misc_RNA Metazoa_SRP Metazoan signal recognition particle RNA